CCCACUGCAGGAGCCACGCUGGGCACAGCCCUGGUGACCCACAUUCCCUGUGAUCCAUGCUGGGAACACACCUGGCUGCUUGUCCUUUUGGUUUGGCCUUGAUUUUCUUCUGAUUCAUCUUUAUCCCUUAAAAACAGCCCAAACUGUGUUAAAUGAAUGACAUUGAUCAGCGAUCUCUAAAGUCUCACCAUUUCAUAGGUGUUUGAGGGGGCACCUGCCUUUGCCCUGUCUUUUGGGGGUAAGAAAUGGAUUCUGGAGCUUUCUGAAACCAAGACCCGUCUCGUUUGUUCCCGGCACCGGCAGCUGCAGCCUCCCUGGACACCAUGGACUCUGGAGAAUGGGGGCAGCCAGUGAGGACAUGUCCUGGAUUGCAAGCUAAGUGUGUGUUCUGUUUGCCAUCAGUCAGAGGUGGAGCACUUAUCUUCUGUUCAUUGGGCAGUUUAUCUCUUCCACAACCAAUCCUUCAUCCAGGAGAUAGCUUCUGUCAAUAAUUAUUAAUUACCUCCUGUUAAUGGGCCAGUGAGUGCUACUGCAUGGCUGAUAAAAUAACAUCAUGCCACUGGGAGAUGCUCUGCCCAGCGGGAGGAGCCAAGCAUUUCUUCCUGGAUAGAAUCUGAGUUUGGAACAUUGCAGCAGCCUUUUCCCACUGGAUUGCCAGAGGAUCAACCUUUUCCCACUGGAUUGCCAGAGGAAGACCAGGCCCAUCUACACCACCACUGGACCUUCAGAGGAAAACUCCACCCUUCUCCAGGAUCCCUGCUCCAACAGAGCCACACCUGUCACUGCAGGAGGGCUUCAGCCACCAUUCAAUGGGACUGCUGCCAGCACCCUGACCCACAGGGUGUCAGGUUAUAUUCUGACUCUGUCAGUGGUUUUGGUUUUUUUUUUUGGUUUUUGCUAUUGCCUUUGUAUUUUUAAUUUUUGCUAAAAAAGAAUUCCUAUUCCCAUAGCUUUGCCUGAGAGCCCCUUAAUUCAGAAUUAUAACAAUUCAGAGGGAAGGAGUUUCCAUUUUCCAUUUCAGGGGAGGUUCCUGCCUUCCUUAGCAGACACCUGGCUUUCCAAACCAAGACAGGACAGCACGACCUGCACCCCGUAAGUCACCCCCUGAUGGCCACACCUUGUGGGACCCCCAUCUUGAAGAGGAAGACCCAAGAGCACCAUGGCAAGAGGCUGGAUUUGAAACAAAAACUUUAAGGAAGUUAGACAUUUUAGAGGAGCUAAGAUUUUAGUUAGAGAUAAGCUUUAUUGUAAUUAAUUAAAAUAAAUAGGUAGGCCUUGAUGAAGACUAUAGAAACUGACAGAUAGCUUUUAGGAACAUAAGACAAUUGUGGGCCUCCUGUGUUCUGAAACCAAUUGAAGACAGGGAAUGGGAAUUCUAUCAAGGGUUCAUUUGUCAUAUUUGCAUUGAAAAGGUAGAAAGGUCAGAAUGAGGAAGACUUCAUUUACUUCCUCAUUUUGGGACCCUUCCCAUGAAAGGGACCCCGACCCAUUUCAAAGAACAAACUACGUAUGCCUAAUAGAUUUUGAACUAAUUAGCCUAUGAAACAGGGAAUGGGAUGUACCAAAAUUAUGAAUAUGUAUUUGUAUUUUGGGUAUUCAGUAGUUGUAUGGAUGACAGGACUCUGUAAUCACCUGUAAAUUGCAGUGUGCAUUUGGGAGCAAUCCCACACGCCACCCGGCAUCGCAAUAAACAUACACUUUCUAGCUUUAAA